GAUUCUAACUAAAUUAUUGAUUAUUAUUCUUAAGUCAUACACAUGUAAACCUUUCUACUCCCGUGAAAAAGUUUUUCUAAUUUUAUUUUCUUAAAGAAAUUAUUAUAUUAAGUUAAACAACUAAAUUUUAAAUAUAUUUUUUAUAUUUAAUAAUUUUUCACACCUACAGUGUCUAAUUCUGUUAUAUUAGGGACACCUAGAUUCGAUUAAAGACUCAAGGGCUGGUUAAAUCUGUGCCAGCUACCGCGGUUAAACAGUAAGCCCAAAUCAAUUAAGCCGGGAUCUACGGUUAAAUAUCCAAUUUUAUUAGGCAAAAUAACAAUUUAUUUUAGAGGUACAAUUCUUUCCAAUAUUAUUCUUCUUUUACUGCUUCAUUAUUGACCCGUGACAACUUAGACCAAAACCAGGAUUAGAUACCCAAUUAUUCUAAGUUUUAAAUUAAUUUACCAGGGCAUUACUACUACAUAGUUGAAACCCAAAGAAAUUGGCGGCAUUCUAACGUCCCAGGGGAACCUGUCCUUUAAUCCGAUAUUCCACGUAUACACAACUUUCUCUUGCACAACAGCCUAUGUAUUGCCGUCGUCAGCCAACCUUGAAAAAGCCUAUUUGUUAGCACCAAGAUUAGCCUCUAAUCUUUACGUCAGGUCGAAAUAUAGCCUAUGAGAAAGAAGAGAUGGGUUACUGUUUCUUUACACCAAAUAUUAUGUUUAAACACAUUUUUGAAGAAGGACUUGGAAGUAAAAAUUAACUAUAUUGUAAUUCUGAAUUCAGUUAUCUAGAAUGAGUACAUAUCGCCCGUCGCCCUCGCUGAAAAGUGAGGUAAGUCGUAACAUAGUGGGUGUAACGGAAGUUGCACCUA
rnacentral:ncRNA from 1 species